CACAGGAAGAGAAAGUCAUUUGUACACGUCAAGAGAUUCUGACAAGCUGUGUGAGAGUAAUCCGGAAAUACCAGCUAAGCUGUGACUUCAAACUGAAACAUCGUGCAAAAGGGAAGCAUAUAGUAAAUGUCUCUGAAGUAUAAGAUCUGUAGGCUACCAAAGUUUGAAACUUAAUAAUCAAGAUAGCUAUCUUUCUGGUGUGUUUAUUAUGGACUAGGAACUACGCUAAGUGCUUGAUCUACAUUCCACACAGUCUCAUUAACCCUUGCCAAAACCUUAUGGUUCCGUGGUUGUUUGUAUUUUGCAGAUGAAGAAAUCAAAGCUCAUGGACUGAAAACGAUGGUGCUGGAUUCGUGUGAGAUGGUUGGCCAGACGAGAUUACAGUCUGAAGUCAUGGAACUGGAUACUUGAUUUGCCCUCCUAAAGGAACAUAGCCAACUAAUCAGCUUUGAGCGUCCCUGGAUAUGUUUCAGAGACUUUGUGCCCUUUGACUUUUCUAACUGAGUUAAAUCCUUAAGACUCUUCUGGAGGGAAGAACAGGCAACUGUGCAGCUUAUUUCACUGUCCGAGUCUUUCCACAGAAUCAAAAGCCAUGGUGGCUCAGAGGAACUCCAGGCAAAGGCACCGGCUCCUCUAUGCUCAGACCCCCAACCUUGCGGGGGGUCCCCGUCACCUCCCCUUACAGAGGGAAUUGCAGAAAAAAGACCAGAUUCUCCCUCAUUGGGUGUACGCCCAAAUCUUUCGGUCUCACAUCGACAUUGCACUCCAUCACUUUAUUCCUGCAUCGCUCCUGCUUUUCCACACGGAGGUGGGUCACAUGGUUAAAUCAAAUUCAGGGAGACCCACAACAGCAGUUCAGGAGCAUCCCACACUUUGGGGAAGUGUUGUCAUGGGAACAGAUGAGGCCAGGCCGGUGUGAUGUGGAGCAGGGCUCCUCAUACGUUAGGGAGCAUUAGACUCACUUAAAGAGCUUGUUAAAACGCAGAUGAUGGGCCCUGUCUCCAGACUUUCAGUAGUGAUGAGGUUUGGAGGUUCAUGGGGUUUGGAGCUGACAGCCAAGAAAGAAUUCUUGAAGAUGUCUUUGGUGCAAAAAGGUGAUUUUACUAAAUCACAGGGACAGGACCCUGGGCAGGAAAGGCUGCACCGGGGUUGUGAAGAGUGGCUUAUUUUAUACUAUGAAGUUGGGGAGUUAAGUCAGAAGGGAGGCCUCCAGAGGGACUUUGAUACGCCGAAGAGGACUCCUAAGUUGCUUGAGGCCUUGCUGUUGUCAAGAUGAUGUUGCUCUCCCUCUAGUAAGGCAUUAACAUUAGGGCAGUAGGGGGUUCCUAGAGAAAUGCUGUGCUCUGUAUUUGCCUCAAGUAUUUGUCAACGGGCUGCAGGUUAUGAGGAAAUGUAAUUCUACCCGCCAUUUCCUUCUUGCCUUGUUCCCCACAUCACUAUGGAGGGGGGAUGUUGGGGCUCCAGGGGACUGAGUCUACAGGUUACUGGAGAUCAGGCUGUUGAUCAGAUUGCCUUUUUCUUAUAAUUUACUGAUAUUUAUAAACUGAUGGAGACUCAGUUUAACCAUUUAUUUUCUGUCCUUUCCUUUGUCCUGGGCAGCCAGGGGGACUGGAGGAAUAUCCCGCCUGGGUGGGGGAGGGGGUGCCCUCAGCCUGCCCCAUGCUCCCUCAUCAAGUAGGACUCUGACAGGGACUGCUAAUUUGCAUUUAGGAUUGUAAGAUUAGCAAAUUAGAAAAAAACCCUAAGAUGUCUAAUUAAAUUUGAAUUUCAGAUAAACAACAUUUUUAAAAGGAUAAGUAUGUUUCAAAAUUACAUGGGACAUACUCACCCUAAAUAUUUUUUAACAUAAAAUUUAUUCGUUGCUGAAAUUCCAGUUGAACUGGGUAUCUUUAAUUCUAUCUGGCAACAUAAUUUGCAUUUCUUUAAAAAAAUUUUAAUGUAAAUUUUUGAGAGAGAGAGCAAGCAGGGAAGGGACACAGAG